AUGUCAUAUUUGAUUAAAAACCAGCACCUUCAACAAGCAUCAUCAAAAACAGCAGCAGUAUUUUGGCUACCUUGCUUCUACAUUAAGAGUCGAAACGGGCAUCAGACGAAGAGUGGGUCUAUAUGAUUAAACAAGGAAAUGUCAAAAAGAUUAAACGCGGAAAUACAUUGUUCUUCUACAAAACCUACGGACGCUGAAACAUCACAUUUUUGUAGACUCGAUAAUGCUAAUACCAACACCGAAGAGAGGCGUCAAUUUAAAGAGAGGCGUAAACUCCUAAAGCUACAGUUGGAUAAUCGUAGAUCGAAUAUGCUACGUAAUAUAACAAAUUCUAACAACAUAUCAUCAUCAAAUUCAACAACAUCACUAACGAAUGAUCUACAAAAUACACCAUCAUCAACACCAUUUACUGCCGAACAAAUUGUGCAAGAUCCAUAUAAAGGAGUAUCUAAAUGUAAAUAUCU
rnacentral:lncRNA from 1 species